rnacentral:pre_miRNA from 1 species
UAACCUCAGUAGGGUGGCUGGCCUGCAGUUUGAGUGGGCAAGUAUCUUUUCGAAAGGCUCACCUUCAUGGACCGCUAGGAGC